rnacentral:rRNA from 1 species
AACGAACGCUGGCGGCAUGCCUAACACAUGCAAGUCGAACGAAGGCUUCGGCCUUAGUGGCGCACGGGUGCGUAACGCGUGGGAAUCUGCCCUUUGCUUCGGAAUAACAGUUAGAAAUGACUGCUAAUACCGGAUGAUGUAGCAAGACCAAAGAUUGAUCGGCAAAGGAUGAGCCCGCGUAGGAUUAGCUAGUUGGUGGGGUAAAGGCCUACCAAGGCGACGAUCCUUAGCUGGUCUGAGAGGAUGAUCAGCCACACUGGGACUGAGACACGGCCCAGACUCCUACGGGAGGCAGCAGUGGGGAAUAUUGGACAAUGGGCGAAAGCCUGAGCCAGCAAUGCCGCGUGAGUGAUGAAGGCCUUAGGGUUGUAAAGCUCUUUUACCCGGGAUGAUAAUGACAUUACCGGGAGAAUAAGCUCCGGCUAACUCCGUG